rnacentral:rRNA from 1 species
GAUGAACGCUAGCGAUAGGCCUAACACAUGCAAGUCGAGGGGCAGCAUAGAUGUAGCAAUACAUUUGAAGGCGACCGGCGCACGGGUGAGUAACACGUAUGCAACAUACCUUCUACAGGGGGACAGCCCGGAGAAAUUCGGAUUAAUACCGCAUAACACAGGGAUACCGCAGGGUAUUAUUUGUUAAAGAUUUAUCGGUAGAAGUAGGGCAUGCGUUCCAUUAGCCAGUUGGUGAGGUAACGGCUCACCAAAGCAACGAUGGAUAGGGGAACUGAGAGGUUUAUCCCCCACACUGGAACUGAGACACGGACCAGACUCCUACGGGAGGCAGCAGUGAGGAAUAUUGGUCAAUGGACGCAAGUCUGAACCAGCCAAAUCGCGUGAAGGACGACUGCCUUAUGGGUUGUAAACUUCUUUUAUAAGGGAAUAAAAAGAGAUACGCGUAUCUUGUUGCAUGUACCUUAUGAAUAAGCAUCGGCUAACUCCGUGCCAGCCGCCGCAGUAA